rnacentral:rRNA from 1 species
GACGAAUGCUGGCGGCGUGCCUAAUACAUGCAAGUUGAGCGAUGAAGAUUGGUGCUUGCACCAAUUUGAAGAGCAGCGAACGGGUGAGUAACGCGUGGGGAAUCUGCCUUUGAGCGGGGGACAACAUUUGGAAACGAAUGCUAAUACCGCAUAACAACUUUAAACAUAAGUUUUAAGUUUGAAAGAUGCAAUUGCAUCACUCAAAGAUGAUCCCGCGUUGUAUUAGCUAGUUGGUGAGGUAAAGGCUCACCAAGGCGAUGAUACAUAGCCGACCCGAGGGGGGGAUCGGCCACAUUGGGACUGAGACACGGCCCAAACUCCUACGGGAGGCAGCAGUAGGGAAUCUUCGGCAAUGGACGAAAGUCUGACCGAGCAACGCCGCGUGAGUGAAGAAGGUUUUCGGAUCGUAAAACUCUGUUGGUAGAGAAGAACGUUGGUGAGAGUGGAAAGCUCAUCAAGUGACGGUAACUACCCAGAAAGGGACGGCUAACUACGUGCCAGCAGCCGCGGUAA